rnacentral:rRNA from 1 species
GAUGAACGCUGACAGAAUGCUUAACACAUGCAAGUCAACUUGAACUUCGGUUUGGGUGGCGGACGGGUGAGUAACGCGUAAAGAACUUGCCUCACAGCUAGGGACAACAUUUGGAAACGAAUGCUAAUACCUGAUAUUAUGAUUAUAUGGCAUCGUAUAAUUAUGAAAGCUAUAUGCGCUGUGAGAGAGCUUUGCGUCCCAUUAGCUAGUUGGAGAGGUAACAGCUCACCAAGGCGAUGAUGGGUAGCCGGCCUGGGAGGGUGAUCGGCCACAAGGGGACUGAGACACGGCCCUUACUCCUACGGGAGGCAGCAGUGGGGAAUAUUGGACAAUGGACCGAGAGUCUGAUCCAGCAAUUCUGUGUGCCCGAUGAAGUUUUUCGGAAUGUAAAGUGCUUUCAGUUGGGAAGAAAAAAAUGACGGUACCAACAGAAGAAGUGACGGCUAAAUACGUG